rnacentral:rRNA from 1 species
GAUGAACGCUGGCGGCGUGCCUAAUACAUGCAAGUCGAGCGAACGGACGAGAAGCUUGCUUCUCUGAUGUUAGCGGCGGACGGGUGAGUAACACGUGGAUAACCUACCUAUAAGACUGGGAUAACUCCGGGAAACCGGAGCUAAUACCGGAUAAUAUUUUGAACCGCAUGGUUCAAAAGUGAAAGACGGUCUUGCUGUCACUUAUAGAUGGAUCCGCGCUGCAUUAGCUAGUUGGUAAGGUAACGGCUUACCAAGGCAACGAUGCAUAGCCGACCUGAGAGGGUGAUCGGCCACACUGGAACUGAGACACGGUCCAGACUCCUACGGGAGGCAGCAGUAGGGAAUCUUCCGCAAUGGGCGAAAGCCUGACGGAGCAACGCCGCGUGAGUGAUGAAGGUCUUCGGAUCGUAAAACUCUGUUAUUAGGGAAGAACAUAUGUGUAAGUAACUGUUCACAUCUUGACGGUACCUAAUCAGAAAGCCACGGCUAACUACGUG